rnacentral:rRNA from 1 species
UACGUGGGGGGCGAGCGUUGUUCGGAAUUAUUGGGCGUAAAGGGUGCGUAGGCGGUUUGGUAAGUCUUGUGUGAAAUCUCCAGGCUCAACUUGGAGUCUGCACGAGAAACUGCCGGGCUUGAGUGUGGGAGAGGUGAGUGGAAUUCCUGGUGUAGCGGUGAAAUGCGUAGAUAUCAGGAGGAACACCUGUGGCGAAAGCGGCUCACUGGACCACAACUGACGCUGAUGCACGAAAGCUAGGGGAGCAAACAGG